rnacentral:rRNA from 1 species
CACGUAGGGUCCGAGCGUUGUCCGGAAUUACUGGGCGUAAAGAGCUCGUAGGUGGUUUGUCGCGUUGUUCGUGAAAACUCACAGCUCAACUGUGGGCGUGCGGGCGAUACGGGCAGACUAGAGUACUGCAGGGGAGACUGGAAUUCCUGGUGUAGCGGUGGAAUGCGCAGAUAUCAGGAGGAACACCGGUGGCGAAGGCGGGUCUCUGGGCAACUACUGACGCUGAGGAGCGAAAGCGUGGGGAGCGAACAGG